rnacentral:rRNA from 1 species
GACUGCUCUGCUGGAUCAGUGGCGAACGGGUGAGUAACACGUGAGCAAUCUGCCCCUGACUCUGGGAUAAGCGCUGGAAACGGCGUCUAAUACCGGAUACGAGCUGCGAAGGCAUCUUCAGCAGCUGGAAAGAACUUCGGUCAGGGAUGAGCUCGCGGCCUAUCAGCUAGUUGGUGAGGUAACGGCUCACCAAGGCGUCGACGGGUAGCCGGCCUGAGAGGGUGACCGGCCACACU